UAGGGAAUCUUCCACAAUGGACGCAAGUCUGGUGGAGCAACGCCGCGUGAGUGAAGAAGGGUUUCGGCUCGUAAAGCUCUGUUGUUAAAGAAGAACGUGGGUAAGAGUAACUGUUUACCCAGUGACGGUAUUUAACCAGAAAGCCACGGCUAACUACGUGCCAG
rnacentral:rRNA from 1 species